rnacentral:rRNA from 1 species
AGAGUUUGAUCCUGGCUUAGGAUGAACGCUAGCGACAGGCUUAACACAUGCAAGUCGAGGGGCAGCACGGGAGUAGCAAUACAACGUGGUGGCGACCGGCGCACGGGUGAGUAACGCGUAUGCAACCUACCUAUCAGAGGGGAAUAACCCGGCGAAAGUCGGACUAAUACCGCAUAAAACAGGGGCACCGCAUGGUGAUAUUUGUUAAAGAAAUUCGCUGAUAGAUGGGCAUGCGUUCCAUUAGGUAGUUGGUGAGGUAACGGCUCACCAAGCCGACGAUGGAUAGGGAACUGAGAGGUUGGUCCCCCACACUGGUACUGAGACACGGACCAGACUCCUACGGGAGGCAGCAGUGAGGAAUAUUGGUCAAUGGGCGAGAGCCUGAACCAGCCAAGUCGCCGUGAAGGAAGAAGGAUCUAUGGUUCGUAAACUUCUUUUGCAGGGGAAUAAAGUGCAGGACGUGUCCUGUUUUGUAUGUACCCUGAGAAUAAGGAUCGGCUAACUCCGUGCCAGCCGCCGC